GGAGGAACCCUGGAAAACACAGCUAGAACCGCAUGGUGUUCCUCCAAAGGGCCUCCUGAAAUGUGCAAGCUCAUUAGUAGUAGUAUUUCAUGCAUCUGCUGGGAGUGGACCAGGGCUGAUGUGAGUUGUCCUGAUUCAGAGAACAAAAGAAUGGAAAGGAACAAUAGAGAUCAUGCAUGGCAGUUCUCCAAAUUCAUAAAUGUGGAAACACAGCCAAAGAGAAGCCUCAUUUACAUAAUGACUCCAUACGAUUGCUACACACUGGCAUGAGAGAAAGACCCAUUUGUCUGCUGACCUGCUGAAUCCACCACCAAGGGAAAGCACUGUGAAGAGGCACAACACUCUAGACACAUUUGGUUGGAGAAGAGUUAGAAGCCACUGAAAAUGAUGUUCUCAGCAAAGAUGAUGGACGGGGUCCCUCCCUUAGUGGACAAAGGAGAAGAUAAACUGCUUGACCAAAAUGACCAGAGUAAGAAGAGGAAGCCAAUCAGA